rnacentral:rRNA from 1 species
UUCUACAGGCUUAACACAUGCAAGUCGAGGGGCAGCAUUUUAUUUUGCUUGCAAACUGAAGAUGGCGACCGGCGCACGGGUGAGUAACACGUAUCCAACCUGCCGAUAACUCCGGAAUAGCCUUUCGAAAGAAAGAUUAAUACCGGAUAGCAUACGAAUAUCGCAUGAUAUUUUUAUUAAAGAAUUUCGGUUAUCGAUGGGGAUGCGUUCCAUUAGUUUGUUGGCGGGGUAACGGCCCACCAAGACUACGAUGGAUAGGGGUUCUGAGAGGAAGGUCCCCCACAUUGGAACUGAGACACGGUCCAAACUCCUACGGGAGGCAGCAGUGAGGAAUAUUGGUCAAUGGGCGAGAGCCUGAACCAGCCAAGUAGCGUGAAGGAUGAAGGCUCUAUGGGUCGUAAACUUCUUUUAUAUGGGAAUAAAGUUUUCCACGUGUGGAAUUUUGUAUGUACCAUAUGAAUAAGGAUCGGCUAACUCCGUGCCAGCAGCCGCGGUAAUACGGAGGAUCCGAGCGUUAUCCGGAUUUAUUGGGUUUAAAGGGAGCGUAGGUGGAUUGUUAAGUCAGUUGUGAAAGUUUGCGGCUCAACCGUAAAAUUGCAGUUGAAACUGGCAGUCUUGAGUACAGUAGAGGUGGGCGGAAUUCGUGGUGUAGCGGUGAAAUGCUUAGAUAUCACGAAGAACUCCGAUUGCGAAGGCAGCUCACUAGACUGUCACUGACACUGAUGCUCGAAAGUGUGGGUAUCAAACAGGAUUAGAUACCCUGGUAGUCCACACAGUAAACGACGAAUACUCGCUGUUUGCGAUAUACAGUAAGCGGCCAAGCGAAAGCAUUAAGUAUUCCACCUGGGGAGUACGCCGGCAACGGUGAAACUCAAAGGAAUUGACGGGGGCCCGCACAAGCGGAGGAACAUGUGGUUUAAUUCGAUGAUACGCGAGGAACCUUACCCGGGCUUAAAUUGCAACAGAAUAUAUUGGAAACAGUAUAGCCGUAAGGCUGUUGUGAAGGUGCUGCAUGGUUGUCGUCAGCUCGUGCCGUGAGGUGUCGGCUUAAGUGCCAUAACGAGCGCAACCCUUAUCUUUAGUUACUAACAGGUUAUGCUGAGGACUCUAGAGAGACUGCCGUCGUAAGAUGUGAGGAAGGUGGGGAUGACGUCAAAUCAGCACGGCCCUUACGUCCGGGGCUACACACGUGUUACAAUGGGGGGUACAGAAGGCGGCUACCUGGUGACAGGAUGCUAAUCCCAAAAACCUCUCUCAGUUCGGAUCGAAGUCUGCAACCCGACUUCGUGAAGCUGGAUUCGCUAGUAAUCGCGCAUCAGCCAUGGCGCGGUGAAUACGUUCCCGGGCCUUGUACACACCGCCCGUCAAGCCAUGAAAGCCGGGGGUACCUGAAGUACGUAACAGCAAGGAGCGUCCUAGGGUAAAACUGGUAAUUG